CCCCUAGUAACUGCGAGUGAAGCGGGAAAAGCUCAAAUUUAAAAUCUGGCAGUCUUUGAUUGUCCGAGUUGUAGUCUAGAGAAGCAUUUUCCGCGCUGGACCGUGUACAAGUCUCUUGGAAUAGAGCGUCAUAGAGGGUGAGAAUCCCGUCCAUGACACGGACUACCAGUGCUUUGUGAUGUGCUCUCAAAGAGUCGAGUUGUUUGGGAAUGCAGCUCAAAAUGGGUGGUAAAUUCCAUCUAAAGCUAAAUAUUGGCGAGAGACCGAUAGCGAACAAGUACCGUGAGGGAAAGAUGAAAAGCACUUUGGAAAGAGAGUUAAACAGUACGUGAAAUUGCUGAAAGGGAAACGAUUGAAGUCAGUCGCGUUAUUCAGAACUCAGCCUUACCUCGGUAUGGUGCAUUUUCUGUUUAACGGGCCAGCAUCAGUUUCGAUCGCCGGAAAAAGGUUAGAGAAAUGUGGCACCUUCGGGUGUGUUAUAGUCUCUAAUUGUAUACGGUGGUUGGGACUGAGGAACUCAGUACACCUUUAUGGUCGGGGUUCGCCCACGUUUGUACUUAGGAUGCUGGCGUAAUGGCUUUAAGCGACCCGUCUUGAAACACGGACCAAGGAGUCUAACAUGCCUGCGAGUGUUUGGGUGGUAAACCCGAGCGCGUAAUGAAAGUGAAAGUUGGGAUCUCUGUCGUGGAGAGCACCGACGCCCGGACCAGAACUUCUGUGACGGCCCUGCGGUAGAGCAUGUAUGUUGGGACCCGAAAGAUGGUGAACUAUGCCUGA
rnacentral:rRNA from 1 species